CCUACGGGUGGCAGCAGUGGGGAAUAUUGCACAAUGGGCGAAAGCCUGAUGCAGCAACGCCGCGUGAAGGAAGAAGGGUUUCGGCUCGUAAACUUCUAUCAACAGGGACGAAAGAAAUGACGGUACUUGCAUUAGAAGCUCCCGCUAACUACGUGCCAGCAGCCGCGGUACUACGUAGGGGGCAAGCGUUAUCCGGAAUUACUGGGCGUAAAGGGUGAGUAGGCGGCAUGGUAAGCCAGAUGUGAAAGCCUUGGGCUUAACCUGAGGAUUGCAUUUGGAACUGUCAAGCUUGAGUACAGGAGAGGAAAGCGGAAUGCCUAGUGUAGCGGUGAAAUGCGUAGAUAUUAGGAAGAACACCAGUGGCGAAGGCGGCCUUCUGGACUGAAACUGACGCUGAGGCACGAAAGCGUGGGGAGCGAACAGGAUUAGAUACCCGUGUAGUC
rnacentral:rRNA from 1 species